rnacentral:rRNA from 1 species
UACGAAGGGGGCUAGCGUUGUUCGGAAUCACUGGGCGUAAAGCGCACGUAGGCGGACUUUCAAGUCAGGGGUGAAAUCCCGGAGCUCAACUUCGGAAUUGCCUUUGAUACUGUUGGUCUCGAGUCCGGAAGAGGUGGGUGGAAUUCCUAGUGUAGAGGUGAAAUUCGUAGAUAUUCGCAAGAACACCAGUGGCGAAGGCGGCUCACUGGCCCGAUACUGACGCUGAGGCACGAAAGCGUGGGGAGCAAACAGG